UACAGAGGUCUCAAGCGUUGUUCGGAUUCAUUGGGCGUAAAGGGUGCGUAGGUGGCGAGGUUAGUCAGGUGUGAAAUCUCGGGGCUCAACCCCGAAACUGCACCUGAUACUGCCUUGCUAGAGUACUGGAGAGGAGAUUGGAAUUUACGGUGUAGCAGUGAAAUGCGUAGAUAUCGUAAGGAAGACCAGUGGCGAAGGCGAAUCUCUGGACAGUUACUGACACUGAGGCACGAAGGCCAGGGGAGCAAACGGG
rnacentral:rRNA from 1 species